rnacentral:rRNA from 1 species
ACUCAAAUGAAUUGACGGGGGCCCGCACAAGCAGUGGAGUAUGUGGUUUAAUUCGAAGCAACGCGAAGAACCUUACCAGGUCUUGAAAUCCUAUGACAGGUUAAGAGAUUAACUGUUCCCUUCGGGGACAUAGAGACAGGUGGUGCAUGGUUGUCGUCAGCUCGUGUCGUGAGAUGUUGGGUUAAGUCCCGCAACGAGCGCAACCCUUACCGUUAGUUGCUACGCAAGAGCACUCUAAUGGGACUGCCGUUGACAAAACGGAGGAAGGUGGGGAUGAGGUCAAAUCAUCAUGCCCCUUAUGACCUGGGCAACACACGUACUACAAUGGCGGCCAACAGAGGGAAGCGAGGCAGUGAUGCUGAGCAAAACCCGAAAAGCCGCCUCAGUUCGGAUUGCAGGCUGCAACUCGCCUGCAUGAAGUCGGAAUUGCUAGUAAUCGCAGAUCAGCAUGCUGCGGUGAAUACGUUCCCGGGCCUUGCACACACCGCCCGU